GAAAAAUAUACAAUAGGGUCAGUUUGAGAGUUACAAACAGAUUUCAGAAUAUUCUGGCUAUAAAUAUCAUAGAAGCUAAGUUUUAUAAAUUAAACCCUUGUCAAAACCUUCUGCACCUGAUUAAUGAUGACCAGUUCUGUCCAAAGAUUCUAAAUUAAGGCGUAAAUUAAUUUUAGUUUAUUUGAGUGAUGUUUUUGUUCAAAAGCAAUAAAUAUGAGGGAGUACUGUACCUUGCUUUAGGAUACACAGCAUAGUCACACCUGAGAUUAGGCCACACAACCUUUCACAUACAGUACAAGCCCUGUGCCUUAACCACUACGCCACAAUACUGCUGUAACAAAUAAGAAAUAUUAUCAUGUAAACACAGUAUUAAUCCAUUACCAUAUAUGGCUACAGGCAUUCAUUAUACAUUUUUAUCAGGCUGUUAAUUUUCCUCUUUGCCUCUUGUUAAAUUUUAAUUAGACUUCAAGCAACAAUUGGGAAUUUUAGCCUUAUUUUAUCAUUUCUUUUGUGAGUUUGACCUUGUACUAGUUUACACAGUCCGAACAAAGUCCGUUAACAACUCUGUGACACUUUCAAAAUAAUAAACAAAUGAAAACAUUUGUCAACGACAGAUUCCUAAAUGAUAGAGCAGAUUGUCUUUGAAUCUAAUUUGAAUCCCCUGCUUGCUUUUGAGUGCAGUAACUGGUCAAGAUAUUUUGCAACCGUAAUUCACCAAAAGCAUCAUUUUCAAGGGCAAGUUUUUUUCAGAAGUGUGUUGCUGGGAAAAAAGAACCUGUCACAAUGAUGAGCCGUUGCAAGAUGUCUUUUGGUGCCGGCAGAUCCUAUCCCUCCAGGAUGAGGCGCCUUAAAAAAACUCCCAGAGGGGCAGAUUGCAAGACUGUAUAAAUCCCACUGGACAAGUCAUAUGCUAAAUUUCACACAAUAAUCAGCACUGUUAUAUAACAUUUUCAGAUUCCUUUAAACUGUGGGGAAGCCAUUUCCCAAUAUACAAAAUAUUGCCAAUCAAGCAAAAAUCAUGUUUUAGAACAGCACUUAAUGAUAUGCUUAAAGACUAGGGUGUUUAUUUUUCCUCAGCUUAACCUUUCAAUUUCUGUAUAUAUACUGUACAUUUCUUAAUAAAAUAUUCUUUUUAAAAAUGCAUA
rnacentral:lncRNA from 1 species